rnacentral:rRNA from 1 species
UACGUAGGCAGCAAGCGUUGUUCGGAGUUACUGGGCGUAAAGGGUGUGUAGGCGGUUAUUUAAGUUUGGUGUGAAAUCUCCCGGCUCAACCGGGAGGGUGCGCCGAAUACUGAAUGACUUGGAGUGCGGGAGAGGAAAGUGGAAUUCCUGGUGUAGCGGUGAAAUGCGUAGAUAUUGGGAAGAACACCGGUGGCGAAGGCGGCUAUCUGGCCCGUAAUUGACGCUGAGACGCGAAAGCGUGGGGAGCAAACAGG